AGGAGGAGUAAUCAUUGAUGAAGAAAACAGAAUAAAGGCUAUUUGUAUAAUAAUCACAUUCUGAUAAUGAAUCACUUUAUUCCUUAUUUCCUAUAAUACCAUAUAUAUAUAGGAAUGAACAAUAAGCAUACAAAGGAAGAUGCUGUGUCAGCCUUUCUGUGACUAUGAGGGGAAUCAAUUCUGAAAUACUGAAGCAGACAGUAACAUUGACAGAGGGAAAGAGAUGAAGGCAACUAAGAAGCCUGUGACUGCCCUGCCUUCCGACUACUAAACAUGCACUACUCUGAGUGGCCGGACUAGGAAAGGAAAUCAGAAAUAAUUCUUGAUAAGGAAUUGACAGUCCUGUGGAGGACUGAGACAAGUAACAGUCAUAUAUCCAGGAGGUAGGAGAAUGUAAACUGAGCAUCUCACCAAGGCUUUGUGUCUGAGAUACUUUUCUACGGGGGAAAAACAUGUCCAAAUUGAUACCUGAAGUUCAAACAGGACAGAGUCUAGAUAAGAGUUAGUGGACAAUUCUAGGCAGAGGAAGAGAACCUUCAAAUACUAUAUAUCAGGGGGCAAGGUGCAUUGGGAAAACACAAGAAGCUCUAAAU
rnacentral:lncRNA from 1 species